rnacentral:rRNA from 1 species
UACAGAGGGGGCAAGCGUUGUUCGGAAUUACUGGGCGUAAAGGGCGCGUAGGCGGCGCGGUAAGUCACUUGUGAAAUCUCUGAGCUUAACUCAGAACGGCCAAGUGAUACUGCAGUGCUAGAGUGCAGAAGGGGCAAUCGGAAUUCUUGGUGUAGCGGUGAAAUGCGUAGAUAUCAAGAGGAACACCUGAGGUGAAGACGGGUUGCUAGGCUGACACUGACGCUGAGGCGCGAAAGCCAGGGGAGCAAACGGG